GGGGGUGUAGCUCAGUGGUAUAGCAGUUGCCCUAAUAUGCAUGAGACACUGGGUUUGAUUCCCAAUAUCACCA
rnacentral:tRNA from 1 species